UACGGGGGGAGCAAGCGUUGUUCGGAUUUACUGGGCGUAAAGGGCGCGUAGGCGGUCAGCACAAGUCAGUUGUGAAAUCUCCGGGCUUAACUCGGAAAGGUCAACUGAUACUGUGCGACUAGAGUGCGGAAGGGGCAACUGGAAUUCUCGGUGUAGCGGUGAAAUGCGUAGAUAUCGAGAGGAACACCAGUGGCGAAGGCGAGUCUCUGGACGACUCCUGACACUGAGGCACGAAAGCUAGGGGAGCAAACAGG
rnacentral:rRNA from 1 species